UUCACCUGCAACGAGAAGAAAACAAUAAAAGCAGCGGCUGCUGAUUCAGAUCGAGAAACAGGAAGAGAUUGAGAGAUGAGAGGGAGAGAUUAAGAGUGAAUCAGAAAUUCUGAUGAUCUCGAUGGUGUUCGAUUUUAUGGAUGAUGUUUCAAUCAGUGUUUGGUGAUUUAGGGUUUAAGAAGAACUUCAGAUGAAACUGAAGAGGGAAUCAGAGCUGAAAUUGAUGUGGGUUUGUCGAGAUAAGGGUUACUGAGAACUGAGAUUGAUGAUUAAGUUAAGAGAAUUGAAGAAUUUCAGAAACUAGGGUUUGGUUUUGGGAAGAGCAGCUGAAACAACGACAACAAAUCAAGAUGUGCAAGAGCAUCAUCCUUCUGAGAUUUUCUGAUUUCCUGAAAAUUUAAGUUUUUCAUUUGCAGGGUGAUAGAAAUUUGUAAGCUCUAUAAUGGAAAUCACUGUGAAGGAGAUGAAAAGAGGGUUUUGUUUUAUGGAUUCUUGGAGUUUUUUUUUGUUUUUGGUUCAUGGAUUUGCUUUCGUUGGAUUGUUGGAGUUUUUGUUUUUUCUAUAAUUUUCAAUUUUUAGUAGAUGCCCUUUGAUGAGAUUAGCUUUGACCCUUGAUUUGACAACUCUUUAGUUAGAUUUCAGGAAUUAGGUUGAAAUAAAUCUAACCUAAAAAAAAUAAAGCACAAUACAUUUAAAACCCUAACCUUGGUAAUGGUUUUGUGUGAUUUAUUGAAUCAAGUAGUUGGUUGAGGAUGUGAUAUUUAUUGAUUUUUCUGAAGUUUGGUCUGUUUUGGGGAACUUUUCUUUGAACAUUGCCUCUUGAAGAUAUAAAUCUUUGGUAAUUACUAUACUUGGGCAGUCAUGCAUAAGAAUAUGCGACACUGUGACAAUUGUGUUUUAACCAAUGAUUAGCAGCUUGCAAUCGUACACUCUCAUACAUCUUUUGAUGUUUAUAUAAGUGACAAGGUUAUUCUUUUCCACCAGAUGUGCAAUAUAUUGAUGCGAGCUGGGAAAUUCCAGUGGUGCUUCCUCUAUUUGAUUGGGUGUCAAGUGAGGAGGUUAAGUUAGCUGAGGUUUCAAAGCUUCAAGACAAUCUUCAAAGCGAAAGACGUUGGGUUCAAUGAGCUCGGAGCUGGAAGCUUCAAGACAAUCUUUGGGAUGCAUCGACUUUUUGGACCGUAGAAUAUUAAACUACGGUAUAUCUCCGCACUCUGAUGUAGCUUCAUGGAGAACAAGGAUAACAUUGCAAAACUACGAAAGUGUUUUGCUGGAAAAAGUUUCCUUUUCUGAUUUUAGGGACAAUGGCCUUAGGUGAAGAUGUCAGUUUUGGAAGGCCACUGUACCAGCAUAGGCCAUAGUGAAAGUGGGAUGGUGGAUCAGGUCGUUGACAACUAAUGCUGAUAAAAUUUGUUCGGAUACCUCAUACCUCAGAUUGGAGACAAGUUAGCAGUAGGCAUGGUCGGCAUGACAUGCACGCAUGAAGAUAUGCCACGGUGAAGGCAUCGAUGACAAUUGGUCAGCUGCUUGACUAUAUCAUGGUAAAGGUUGCAGCUCAUGUGGGGAAGGACUGUAGCGUGUUAAGUAUGUUAUCAUUACUCAUUAGAGACCAAGGCUUUCAGUCCGGUUUUAUUUGUUUAGUUUUCCUUUGGUGCGUUAUGUAAUGGCUUUGCCAUUAGUUUCCAAGUUAAAAUAAAACUCAGUAAAAUCAAUAACCUGGAAUGCUCUCAGAAGUACAUCAUAACAAGAAAAAAGGUUCUCAAAGUUGAUUUGAUUGAUUUUUAUAAUAGGUAAAACAGAUCCGUAA